UAUAACAGCUCAUAACAAUUUGUCUGGUUAUUUAAAAUAUAACAGAAUUCAUGACUUCUAACCAAACACUAACAUGAUUUCAAAAAAAUAUAAAAAAUAUAUUUACUAACAUGGACUCAACUCUGUCUAAUUCCAUUCCUUUAAGCAUGAAUAUUCACUGAUUUCAUGCCAAAUGUGUUAAAAAUAUUCAGCUGCCUAGACAUUUGGCAGCCUUACCAACCAUAAUUUAACACAGUUCCAAAAUAGAAUACUAUACAGAUUUAAAUUUUGAACACUCGAAUUUUGAAUCUUACUAGGGAAUAGGGUGUUGAUGCUGACAUUUAAUUACAACUAGAAACAUUAACUAUCAAACUAAUUAAUACAUGUAAUGCUAAGCAAAAGAAGAGAAAAUCUGGAAGGGAAGUCUAAUUUCAUUUAAACAUAUUGCAGCUCCCACUUCAUUUUGCACUUUCAAAGUUCGAAACAUACCUGAAACAACCAAAAUAGUCACAUUAAUUUAGCAAAUAACUAACAAUCUCAGCAGAUCUUAAAAUAGCAACCAACAUCAGUUCAUCAAUCAACUUUCAUAUUUUGCAACCCAGAAGUAAACAUCAAAUUAUCCUAGAUUUUAAAACCCAAAUAAUAUCAACAAACCAGCUACAAUAGAACAGUACUUGAUGAUUUUUUUGUAUCUUUUUUCUUUCUAAUUUUGGGACCUAUAUCAGUGUGUAUGAUUUCAGCUGUUUGCUCCCUUUUCAGGUCACUAAUCUCUUCUUAUAAAUGAAAGGAAAUGAACCUUAUAUAACCAGCUCCUAGGGCAACAAAAUCUGAUUCUAUACUUCACUAUUUACCCCUUCUCCAAUUUUUAUUUUUUCAUUUUGGACCUGUAGUUAAAACCUGUUUGUUAAUCUACCCUCAAUCCCACCUUUCUGGAAAUUUUCUAAGUGGUUUAAGGAAGAUUCCCCUUAUUAAAUUCCUUAAACUACCCUUUACAAGGCUGAUAAUUACUUUAACAUAGACAUUGGACCAAACUGCCCAAAUGUCUUUGGGCUUCUGUACCAAAUGAACUUCAACCAGUUUUUUGGGCUACUAGCAAACCCAAGUUCAAGUCUAAACCAAUGAAUUCACAAGAAAAAUAAGAAAACCAAAAUAACCCAAUUCUGAAUUCUAGUAACAUGAAAUCUUCUUAACGAAGCAGAAUAAGAAUAAUAAUUAAAAAAGAAGUAAAAAGGAAAAAAGGAAAAUUAACAAAUGCUAACAGAGAAUUUAAUUGCUUCUUAACCUAUUAUUAUUACCUAAUUAAACGACUGAAAAACCUGUGAUUUCUAAACCCAACUGAGAUGAAGAAGAAGAGAAGUACCGGCUAGAUCGAUGGCUCACAGGUGAUGGCAUCCGGCGUGAAGAAUCUCAACCCCAUGGUGUGAACUUUAACAUUGAACACUAGCAAGAAUUUCUUCCAUAGCUUGUGCUCUUUGUCACAGUCCCCAUCACGAGUCAAGAAUGAAGAGGAAAUAGAGAUAAGGGCCUAUCGGAGACUGUUGACCAAACUUGGCCACCAUGCACAGAUAGAGCCCUCAACCAAUUGGCUUUUCCAUAUCGAAACUGGUUGAUUCACACGUUUUAACACCAAGAAGAAACUAGAGUGGGCGGAAAUCAAAAGAAAAGGGGUGAAGGGAUUUUCAGUGCUAACUUCGAUCUCUGAUCUUGAGAGAAUGGGUGGUUUGGGAGAGAAAACAAGGGUGGAUUUGGAAUGGAGGUACAGCGGAGGUUACCUGGUCAAGAUUUGAAGGGUUUUGAGGUAAACUGCCGCCGCUGGUGAUUUUCGGUGGGCGGCGGACGGUGGUGAGAGAUAGGGUGUGAGGGAGAUGAAGAGAACGGAUACUAGGUUAUUCUGAAAUGUUUGGACAAUUUUAAUUAAAAUGGGGGAAGUCUUUA
rnacentral:lncRNA from 1 species